UACGUAGGGUGCGAGCGUUGUCCGGAAUUAUUGGGCGUAAAGAGCUCGUAGGCGGCCUGUCGCGUCGGAUGUGAAAGCCCGGGGCUUAACCCCGGGUCUGCAUUCGAUACGGGCAGGCUAGAGUGUGGUAGGGGAGAUCGAAUUCCUGGUGUAGCGGUGAAAUGCGCAGAUAUCAGGAGGAACACCGGUGGCGAAGGCGGAUCUCUGGGCCAUUACUGACGCUGAGGAGCGAAAGCGUGGGGAGCGAACAGG
rnacentral:rRNA from 1 species